rnacentral:rRNA from 1 species
GACGAACGCUGGCGGCGUGCCUAAUACAUGCAAGUCGAACGCAGUGGGGACGGGUGAGUAACACGUGGGUAACCUCCCAUCAGAGGGGAUAACACUUGGAAACAGGUGCUAAACCGAUACUGAUGGAUGGACCCGCGGUGCAUUAGCUAGUUGGUGAGGUAACGGCUCACCAAGGCCACGAUGCAUAGGCGACCUGAGAGGGUGAUCGGCCACACUGGGACUGGGACACGGUCCAGACUCCUACGGGAGGCAGCAGUGGGGAAUAUUGGACAAUGGGCGCAAGCCUGAUGCAGCCAGGCCGCGUGUAUGAAGAAGGCCUUCGGGUUGUAAAGUACUUUCAGCGGAGAGGCGUUACCCGCAGAAGAAGCACCGGCUAACUCCGUGCCAGCAGCCACGGUAAUAC